rnacentral:rRNA from 1 species
UACAGAGGGUGCGAGCGUUGUUCGGAAUUACUGGGCGUAAAGGGCGCGUAGGCGGUCUUGUAAGUCCCGUGUGAAAUCCCUCGGCUCAACUGAGGAACUGCACGGGAAACUGCUUGGCUUGAGUUCGGGAGAGGGAAGCGGAAUUCCGGGUGUAGCGGUGAAAUGCGUAGAUAUCCGGAGGAACACCGGUGGCGAAGGCGGCUUCCUGGACCGACACUGACGCUGAGGCGCGAAAGCUAGGGGAGCAAACGGG